rnacentral:lncRNA from 1 species
UUUGUAUUGUCAUGUUCUGUAUAUCCCGUCUGGCAUGUCUAAAUAAUGGUGUUAAGCCUAGAUUCAAUCAGUUCAGCAUUAACCAAUAAACCUUCUGUUUGUAUUGUUCUGAUAUAAUACUUGGGCUAGAUUCAAUCAGUUCAGCAUUAACCUGCUAUAACCAACAAACGUUCUGUUUGUGUCACGUUCGCUAUCUUCAAACUCCCGAUCAUAAAUAAACCAAGGCGCAGCGUGCAUGGAAUUCCACAUCUUUUAAUGAAACUCAACAAAACAGGGCCGUCGCCGGAGGCUUCCGGACCGCGGGCCUUCGCCGGAAGCUCCGGACUGUGGGCCGUCGCUGCAGGCUCCGUGCCUUGGAUCAUCGCUACAGGCUCGGUGCCAUGGAUCAUCGCUGGAGGCUUUGUGCCGUGGAUCAUCGCUGGAGGCUCCGGGCCGUGGAUCAUCGCUGGAGGCUCCGGGCCGUGGAUCAUCACUGGAGGCUUCGUACGUGGAGCCGGAACAGGUCUCACCGGACUGGGGAGACGCACUGGAGAGCGGGUGCGUGGGGCUGGCACAGGAUAUACUGGGCCAUGGAGGCGCACUGGAGGUCUGGAGCGUAGGGCUGGCACAACCCGUCCUGGCUGGAUGCUCACUUUAGCCUGGCAAGUGCGGGGCGCUGGCACAGGACGAACUGGGCUGUGAAGGCGCACUGGCGACUCAGUGAGUAGAGCUGGCGCAGG